AGAGCGUGACCAUAGGCCAGAGGAGGAGGAAGAGGAAGGCGAUGCAGGACACACGCACAGGUACCAGCACAGUGCCCAGGAGGAUAAUGCGGGCCCAGCGCCAAGCACUCAGGAACGCCCAUAUCAGCCUGUUCACUAUGUCAGGUUGGUCCUGCUGAAGCCAGUGGCUACCUUCUGACAAAAUGGAGCAGCGUCGGCGUCGUCACCAUGUGAUGCUUGAGAGGCAGGCAGCUGAAAGAUCAAAACACAUCAACCUGAGACCAUCCUUCCAUAACACUGUGUGGAGAUGUGCCUUCCCCACAGGAGACAUACCAUCUCACUGACCGGAGUGGUCCCAUCUGGUGAUUUCUCUGUGCCCUUGCUAAUAAUUAGCAGAGUGCUUUGUGUAACGUGGUGCACGUGACUCUGGGCUCAAACCCCAGCCACACAGCUAAGGAAAACAGAACAAGGUAAUCGUAUUGAGAAUGAUAGUGGGAGAGGGUGGGGAGAUCAAGGGAGGUGGCCAGAGAAGGCUCUCAACUUGCAAAAUCUAGUGAGGACAUCCAAGAACAGCCAAAUGGGUUCUGGGGUUGACAUCUGCAAGAAGCAGAAAGAAGGAGUGGCUGGUGUUCAGGGACCAGAAGAGGCUCACAGGACAGGAAUGGGGAGGAGGAGCCUGAUUGGGUAAGCGUGGCAAGGGAAGCACUUGGCAAGACGCUGAAGAGGAAUCAGGAGGGCCCUAACCACAGGCACGGGGAGUGUUUGCCUGACCCGGUACUGAGCUCGGUCUCCUUGCUACGGAGGUUUGGUUUAAUUUCACAUUUUGUAACUAUACUCAUGUGUCUGGAGGUCUUAGGAACUCCGUUUGCAGGUAACUGUACCACUGCUAUGCUACACUUUUUUUGUGACUUCAUCAGGGGAACUUUUUUCACUUAAAUCAAGAGAAAUCAAUUUAACUGAUUAACUGACCAGUUUAACUGGAAAACAAAUCCAGGAAUAUCAUCUGCAAAUGCUUGGUGGGGUUGUAAGAAACAUCAAAUACGAGUCUUUCCCGUUAAACAUGAUAAAACUUGUGUUCAGAACAAGAAACUCAAAGUUUCAUCCCCACCCACACCCUGUAUGGAUACUUUUACAAACACCCCCCCCCCCCACACACCAAGUAAAAUCUCUGUUUGCACAAAGGUCUGCUGGGUAUUGCAGGACCCUUUCCUCCUGGAAGCAGUGAUCCCUUCUCCUUUCCUUUGUUCCGUGUGCCAAUUCUUUUCAGAUCAGACCCCAGUUAAUGAGGAAAAGACAAUCGUCACCUGAGUCAGAAUGAAAACCAGAUGGACUUCCUGUCUCGUGCUGGCUCUUCUAAGCCAAGAAUCAAGUGUACCUUGUCCAGACACACUUCAGUUCAAUUGGAAGUUUUUCUUUGGGACCCCAAACUUAUUUCUAACAGGGUUAAAGCUGUCGUUGGUAAUGCAUUCUAUACUUAUUCCAAGCACCUGCCUCAUGAAGUCGAGAAUUACAUUUUAUUAUCCUGCACCACCAACAAAUAACAUCUAACUCAGGGUCCUACUCAGCAGGCAUGCGCUUUGACUUCUGUGGCUUAAUUUAACUGAGAAAAGUGUAACAAAUCUUAGGGCAUUUUAAUACCAAACACCCAUCCUACCUCAACAGAGAUCAGCUGGUGGAGGUGUACCUGAACUUCAACCCUGACACUAACAAUAUGCGGGGUCUAUACAGUCACUGGGACCCUGUCAUCAGCUGGUGGAGGUGUACCUGAACUUCAACCCCGACGCUAACAAUAAGCAGGGUCUAUACAGUCAUCGGGACCCUGUCAUCAGCUGGUGGAGGUGUACCUGAACUUCAACCCCGACACUAACAAUAUGUGGGGUCUAUAUAGCCAUCGGGACCUUGUCAUCCUUAUUCAAUUUUGAGGAGAAAUAGAAAAGUGCUGUUCUGAACUUUAAUGUGAAAUGACUGGGCAUGUGCUUUUGUGUGUAAGUGUGAAUUGAUAUGGUUAGUAUGCUUUUCUGCGUGUAACAUAGUUAGUGUACUUAUGGGGGUCAGAGGGCAGCCUGUGGGAGCCAGUUUUCCUUUUCCACCAGGUGGGUUCCGGAGAUGAAACUCAGCUCAUCGAGGUCAGUAGCAGGUACCUUUACCCGAUAAGCCACCUUGUCAGCCCCAAGUUUUAAACUUUUUGUUUCCUAAAUGGUUGCUGUGGAUCGUAAAAGUACCGAAACUUCAGAAAGUCCAACAGGAGUCAUUGAACUGAACAAAAUUAUAAUUUUUUUCUGAAAUCAAAGUGCGCAAGCUCACUGUCAACAGGUUAUUAAUCACUGUUAAGCAUUUAAGAGUUCUGUUAAAAACUGUCCAUGAAAGACCACCCGUGAGCAUCCCUGGGGGAUGCUCAAGCUCCCUUUAGGGAGUCAAAGGGCUUCAUUACAAUCUCAGGCACUGUUUGCUGGUUUUAGCCCUGCUGAAGUCUGUGCUGGUGCUGCACAAGCAUCGGUGGAGCAAAGCUUCCCUCUGAGCACAGGUCAACACGGCGACCCUAGCAACGCUAACAGCCACUGUGUUCACUACUGCACGGUGCUAAAUACACCAACUAAUUAACUCAAUUAAAAGUCAGUUUCACUUCACAAUGAAGUAGCAAAACCUUAAUGUAUUAAUUCUCAGCCUUUGAACAUAUCUUUUUAGUAGACCACAUGAUCACGUAUAGAGGACAAAGUAUACAGUUGUGCUAUCACCCAGAAGUAAAGGUGGUCUCAAGAGAAGGGCUUGUGACCAGGUGUGGUGGCGCAUGCCUUUAAUCCCAGCCCUCAGGAGGCACAGGCAGGUAGAUCUCUGUGAGUUUGAGGCCAGCAUCAUCUACAUAGUGAGUUCCAGGACAAUCAGAGUUAUGUCUCAAAAACAAAAAGGGAAGAAAAACAUCAUGCAGCUGAAUUAAUGAGUGGGCUCUUCAUUUUGUUUUAAUGGAAUACCAUUUUUACUGGAAAGAUGUCUUACCUAUUCU